UUUGAACGCUGGCGGCAUGCUUUACACAUGCAAGUCGAACGGUAACAGGUUAAGCUGACGAGUGGCGAACGGGUGAGUAAUGCAUCGGAACGUGCCCGAUCGUGGGGGAUAACACUUCGAAAGAAGUGCUAAUACCGCAUACGAUCUGAGGAUGAAAGCGGGGGACCGUAAGGCCUCGCGCGAUCGGAGCGGCCGAUGUCAGAUUAGGUAGUUGGUGGGGUAAAGGCUCACCAAGCCGACGAUCUGUAGCUGGUCUGAGAGGACGACCAGCCACACUGGGACUGAGACACGGCCCAGACUCCUACGGGAGUCAGCAGUGGGGAAUUUUGGACGAGGGGCGCAAGCCUGAUCCAGCAAUGCGGCGUGCAGGAAGAAGGCCUUCGGGUUGUAGACUGCUUUUGGACGGAGCGAAAAGGCUCUCUCUAAUACAAGGGGCUCAUGACGGUACCGUAAGAAUAAGCACCGGCUAACUACGUGCCAGCCGCCGCCGUAA
rnacentral:rRNA from 1 species